GGGGGCAUAGCUCAGUUGGGAGAGCACCUGCCUUGCAAGCAGGGGGUCGAGAGUUCGAAUCUCUCUGUCUCCA
rnacentral:tRNA from 4 species